rnacentral:rRNA from 1 species
GACGAACGCUGGCGGCGUGCCUAAUACAUGCAAGUCGAACGCUUUUUCUUUCACCGGAGCUUGCUCCACCGAAAGAAAAAGAGUGGCGAACGGGUGAGUAACACGUGGGUAACCUGCCCAUCAGAAGGGGAUAACACUUGGAAACAGGUGCUAAUACCGUAUAACACUAUUUUCCGCAUGGAAGAAAGUUGAAAGGCGCUUUUGCGUCACUGAUGGAUGGACCCGCGGUGCAUUAGCUAGUUGGUGAGGUAACGGCUCACCAAGGCAACGAUGCAUAGCCGACCUGAGAGGGUGAUCGGCCACACUGGGACUGAGAAAGGGCCCAGAAUCCUACGGGAGGCAGCAGUAGGGAAUCUUCGGCAAUGGACGAAAGUCUGACCGAGCAACGCCGCGUGAGUGAAGAAGGUUUUCGGAUCGUAAAACUCUGUUGUUAGAGAAGAACAAGGAUGAGAGUAAAAUGUUCAUCCCUUGACGGUAUCUAACCAGAAAGCCACGGCUAACUACGUGCCAGCCGCCGCCGUAA